UAAAGCGUUCGACGAGGGCUGUUAGUUCAUACAAAACUGUAUGCAUGUAAUAAUUGUGAAUAGGCUACAAAGUAUUUACAUUAGUGCUUAUUAAUAUUUAGUUAUAUAGUUUGUAAAAAUUGUAGCCUGAAGCUGACUGGUAAGUAGGCUUCACAUUCUUUGUAAAUUUUAUAUUUUAUUGUAAUUGCACGGCCCAUUGAAAAUCAGCUGUAAUUGCUGAAUGAUUACC